rnacentral:rRNA from 1 species
AUAUCAAUAAGCGCAGGAAAAGAAACCAACAGGGAUUGCCUCAGUAACGGCGAGUGAAGCGGCACCAGCUCAAAUUUGAAAUCUGGCCUCUCGGGGUCCGAGUUGUAAUUUGUAGAGGAUGUUUUGGGUACCGCCCCGGUCUAAAUUUCUUGGAACAGAAUGUCAGAGAGGGUGAGAAUCCCGUCUUGGACCGGCGGUAGGGCCUGUGUAAAACUCCUUCGACGAGUCGAGUUGUUUGGGAAUGCAGCUCAAAAUGGGUGGUAAAUUUCAUCUAAAGCUAAAUAUUGGCCAGAGACCGAUAGCGCACAAGUAGAGUGAUCGAAAGAUGAAAAGCACUUUGAAAAGAGAGUUAAACAGUAUGUGAAAUUGUUGAAAGGGAAGCGCUUGUGACCAGACUUGCGCCCGGCUGAUCAUCCGGUGUUCUCACCGGUGCACUCUGCCGGGCUCAGGCCAGCAUCGGUUCUCGCGGGGGGAUAAAGGCCCUGGGAACGUAGCUCCUCCGGGAGUGUUAUAGCCCAGGGCGUCAUGCCCCCGCGGGGACCGAGGUUCGCGCAUCUGCAAGGAUGCUGGCGUAAUGGUCAUCAGCGA